GCUGUCAGACCAUAAGCUACGCCAAGGUAACUUUAAUUAGCAGGCAGACCUCACUCCUCUUCCUUAUAACAUCGCACCACCACCACCACCACCACCAACUUUAAUUAGCGCCUCAAGGCGCUGUUUGUUAAAACCGCUACAAAACACUCCUUAUCGGCAAUCAUCUGCGUUUGCUUUCCGGCUUCCUGUGGCAAUAAUGUGAACAUGCCAUGCAAAUGCGCCGUAGAGGACUGUAAUCGAAGGUGGAACAGAGGAUAAGGAGUACCUUUCCACAAGUCUCCAGAAUUCCACACCCUUUGCACUUGCGCUGACACCUUUCCAGCUUGCAUAUGCUAUGUACAUAUAAAUGAAUCGGUGUUUCAGACGGAGCUGAAAUAUGUGAAUGUUACUUUGGUGUAACAACUAUUCCGUGUUAGGCGGUACUUAAAGUAUCUAACAUUGAAAUGAGUAUUUGUAUUUUAUUCUAAGUACUUUUCAAUGUGUGUACUUGGUACUGUGCUCCUAGUACUUUUACCCAGCGUGUUCUCAUCAAAUCGGGGCAUUUGGGAGAACGGAAGGCAGUGUUGACAAGCUUUGCAAGUUGAGAAGACAUAACUACUGCGCUACUUUUAGUCCUUCAGCAAUCCAAAGUCAGGACCAUAAAAAUUUUCAGACGUGUUGUGCUAUACUAAAUGCAGUAGCUUAUUUUUGAAUAAAAUCAUGUUCACCAUC